UUUGUAUUACGUGCGGAAAUUGUUACCAUUUUCGGCUCAAUAAUGGUAACAAUUUCCGCACGUAAUACAAA
rnacentral:miRNA from 1 species